rnacentral:rRNA from 1 species
CCCUUAGAUGUUCUGGGCCGCACCCGCGCUACAAUGGCAAAGUCAACGAGCUUAUCCUAUGCUGACAAGCACAGGUAAUCUUUUCAGUCUUUGUCGUGAUGGGGAUAGACCCUUGUAAUUAUUGGUCUCCAACGAGGAAUUCCUAGUAAACGCAAGUCAUCAACUUGCAUUGAUUACGUCCCUGCCCUUUGUACACACCGCCCGUCGCACCUACCGAUUGAAUGGUCCGGUGAAGUCUUCGGACCGAUGCUGACUCGUUGGCAACGGAAAGUUGAGUAAACCUUACCAUUUAGAGGAAGGUGAAGUCGUAACA